rnacentral:rRNA from 1 species
GGCGUGCCUAACACAUGCAAGUCAACUUGACUGAAGGAGCAAUCUGACAGUAGAGUGGCGCAAGGGUGCGUAACGCGUAAGUAACUUGCCCAAGGUAAGGAAUAACGUCGAGAAAUCGGCGCUAAUACCUCAUAAUGCAGCGGAUCCGCAUGGAUAUGUUGUUAAAGGUUUACCGCCUUGGGAUAGGCUUGCGUCUGAUUAGCUAGUUGGUGUGGUAACGGCACACCAAGGCUACGAUCAGUAACUGGUCUGAGAGGAUGAUCAGUCACACUGGAACCGAGACACGGUCCAGACUCCUACGGGAGGCAGCAGUGAGGAAUAUUGGGCAAUGCUCGAAAGAGUGACCCAGCAACGCCGCGUGGAGGAUGAAGGUAUUCUAUAUCGUAAACUCCUGUGAGAGCAGACGAAAGACAGAUUAUUAAUCUGGAUGACUGUAUGCUCAGAGGAAGCCCCGGCUAACUACGUG